AUGGCCUGGAGUCCUGUCCUCCUCGCGCUUCUCUCCUAUUGUACAUGUUCCCUGUCUCGGCCUGUGCUGACCCAGCCGCCCUCCCUCUCUGCAUCUCUGGGAUCAUCCGCCAGACUCACCUGCCCCUUCAGCACUGGGUUCAGUGUGGGCAGCUACCAAACAUACUGGUUACAGCAGCAGCCAGGGAGCCGUCCCCGGUAUCUGCUGAGGUUCUACUCAGACUCAGAUCAGCACCAAGGUUCUGGGGUCCACAGCCGCUUCUCUGGCUCCAAAGAUGCCUCAGCCAAUGCAGGGCUUCUUCUAAUCUCCAGGCUGCAGGCUGAGGACGAGGCUCACUAUUACUGUGGUACAGCUUAUGGCAGUGGGAGCAGCUACCAUUACCCACAGUGUCUCAGAUCAGGAGGAAGUGAGACAAAACCCUCCCAAUAA